ACAAGAUGCCUCAGAAGAGCUACAUGCUGCAGAUUUUGUUUCCAUGCUCAAACACAGCCUGCACAAACUGCUUGAAGACUCUGUCCAUUGAAUUCAGAUGGCCAAAAGUAUUUAGAGGUGAAUGGCUAGAACAUUGAUCCACUGGGUAACCUACAAAAGAACCCUUGAUAAAAGAAAAAUAAAGAACCAUCCUACUGCCUGUCUCCACUCACCUUGGCGAUGCUACUGAGGUAAUAGCAGGCGAAGGCGGCGCUGAAGCCCAGCACCAGGGACAAGCCCACACUGGAACCGAAGAGCCCCACCGGCACCUGGAUCUCCAGAGAGUCUGCCGUCUAAUUCAGCAAAAGGCAGAAGUGAAUUGGGAAUUCAGGGUUACACACUCAGGACAAAGGACUGCAACUUUAAACUUGUCUCUUGGCAAACCAUGUUUAGUCCUUUCCCUAAUCACUGAGGAAGAAUGAGAUUAGCCUGUUGUUCGCUGGGGAUCAUGUCACACAUUUCAUUUUGACACCCACCUCUGAAUGAUUAGCCCCAUCACUACUAUGAUGGCAUACAGUCUGCUGUCUUUUGCCAUAAUUUCAGCCAGCUAAAAAUCCUGCUCCCUCCAGGUCCCUAAGAAUUUAAUCUUGCUCUGCAGCAGAAGGAGAUGGUGUCCCAGUAUCUUCUCCCCUGCCCAAUGGUUGUCUUUGCUGAAUAAAAGGAGAAGUUAGACUUCUUGGAGGAGGAAUCAAAGAACCAAGAUUUGGAAGGACACUAUGUAUUUAAAAGCAUUGAACUCCUCUCACUCAGGCACAAGGAAGACCUCCUCAACCGUUUUAGCCAAAGGGUAGUAAAAAGUAUAUGCUUUAGAUCAUCCUCAGCAAGAAACACCAGCUGUACAUUUGCUGAUAAUGAAUAUCUAAAAAGUAGAAUCAAUGAGAUGAGAAAAUUAUGACCCUAGGGCCAUCAAUGGAUCCUCAUAAAAUCAAAGACCCACAAUUGGAAAGAGAAAAUGUUCUGGUAAGUUGCCAUUCAUGACUCUUAUGAAUUUAUGUACCAUUGAAUGGCUGCAAAAUGCCCCAUUGUAAUGUAGUAAGCUCUGUACAAGCAAAAUUCACUCUCAGCAUUAAGACAUCCAAGCAGUCUAAGAAUGACACACCUUCCUGGCAUGAUAUGUGUUAAUCUUUUGAGGCUUCCACUGCAGAAGUGGAACUCAAACUCUGUGGUAGGGAAUGGAUGCACAGGGGGCAUAUUUUCACAUUAAAGAAGCUAUUCCUUAUGAGUAAAUACUUUGGAGUCUUAGUAUGGUGGAGGAAACAGUGAGUAAUGGGAUUGAUGCUAUAGUCGUUUAGAAGUUUUGUAUCACUGCUGUGCUAUACUGUGAGAACGCUGUAUGCAAGAAAAGUCAGGAAAUGUUUUCAUGAGCUCUUCUACCGCUGGCUUGUAAAGGAAGUACAGAAAGGGAAAUAAUAACCUAGUUAUGAGGGAAGCGCAGCUACCUUUUAGCAGUUAUUUUUUCUCUUCUGACUAAUCACUUCUCUUUCAAAUCCUGCCUAGGAUGCUUAUUACUCAGCAUAGCACAUCCUUGUAAGGACAGAUAAGAACAAUGAUAAUAUCAGUCAGUCUUUUUUUAGUUUUAUCCUCUGUCAUUCACAAUAUGAUUUCUUAUUAGAACAGAAGGGGAAAACAUUAUUUAAGAUGGGUAAACAUCAACUUGGCAUGUGUGGAAUUAACCCAAGAAUAAUCUUUAGAGUGAAAUAUGUGUGUGUGUAGAUUAAUUAAGAGCCAUAUUCUAGAUCUUUGUGCAAAGUCUGGGUUUUGUGCAGAGGAACUUCAUGGGAAGCCAGAGUUGGGUUUCCCCCCAGUGUUGGAACCAUUAGCAUAGCUACUAUGGUAGCUUCUGGGUUGCAGUAGUGCCUGCUGCAUCCCCACCUACCUUGGGGCUUACAGAGGCACUAGCUCCAUUGCCUUCUCUGUCCUACCACUCCUCCAACACACACACAGUUCCAUCUUCUGCGCUGCUGGGCUUGGUCUUACACUGGGUGUGUGUGUGUGUGGGGGGAUGCGUUGAUCUAAGAUACGCAACUUCAGCUACGAGAAUAGCGUAGCUGAAGUCGACGUAUCUUAGAUCGACUUAGAAUCACUUACUUCGUGUCCUCGCAGAGCGGGAUUGACAGCCGCCACUCCCCCGUUGACUUUGCCUCCACCUCUCACCAAGCUGAAGUUCAGCAGUCGACGAGAGAGCGAUCAGGGAUUGAUUUAUUGUGUCUACACUACAUGCGAUAAAUCGAUCCCCAAUAGACUGAUCACUACCCGUCGAUCUGGCGGGUAGUGUAGAUGUACCCUUGUAGAGCUAGAUCUCCAUAGUGAGCAUGGAAUAUGUAGAAUACUGUCAGACCACACCUCAGUCUACUUUGACUGCAUAAUGGAGCUGCAGGGUUCCAUUGCCUUUGGAGAUUUGGCCCUAAAUAUGCAUGGAAAUUCUGAUAGGUGUUCAACAUUAAGGCUGUGGUGAAGUGUUUCUGCUAUUUGGAAGCACGAGGUCCUCUGGCAAACAAAGCUAGUGAACUUGUUAUCCAGUCAUGCGCUUCGUUGCCUAUUAGACUUGUCAUAAAAUGUGAGUAAAAAAAAAGAAUGGAUCCACCAAGCUCAGGAGAUGUAAACAUUUCCUGAGCUUGUAAUCAAGCAGAUGUGAAAAAAUUAAUCUUCGCAUAGUGAUGAUCUCAUGUAAUCUUAAUCUUUUCUCUGUUUUAAUCUUGCUUUGAACAUGAGUUUCAUGGUGUGGAGGGCAAAUGUGAGAUCGAAGCCAUUAAAUGUCUGGAAGAAACCCUCACAAGGGGGAAGCAAUAUGUUUUGUAUUUCUGACCCCAAUAUUGUGAUACAAAUAGCUACACAAAAGGCAAUUCCUAUAUUUGUGUGUUGUGAUAUUAAAGGAGAGUGGGUCUUCAUAGCCUACAUUUCCUUAAUGGAGUUUGUCAACCUCAUCCAAUUAAAUCUGUAGUUCCCAAGCCCCAUUUCUGAUGUAGCUACACUUGACUCUCUCUAUCACCAGCAUUCCUUACAUUACAUCUUGCACAGGUGUCUUCUCCUUUUCUCUGCCUCUCUCUCAAAGCUAUUAUUUCUCCUUCUCUCUCUGUCUUUGCAGUUCUUUCGCCUUUUUUUCCAGCUCUGUCUCUGUUCUCUUUUACCUUCUUUCCCUCUCUUCCAUUCACCUCUGAUCUCUCCACUUAUUUCAUUUUCCUAGUUUCACUCUGCUUUUUCUCUUUCUCAGAGCACAGUUGACAACAUGUAAACAUUUUUGCCAGGAACAGUCCUUCUUAAUAAGUAGGGUUCUGCUGCCAUUAAUCAACACCCCCCUCCCCCCCCGCAGCCAAUGGUGGGCAUGUUGAGGAAUUUUAGGUUAUUUUAUUUUUAGAAGGUGAGAAUCAAAUUGCCCCAGGCAGUUGGCUGAUUUGAAAAAUCAUCCCUUGAAAACAAUGUUGUUCCCUCCCACAGCUCACCAUUCUCCAGACAGAGAGAGAGUCUGAGCUGCCGGUGGCAGCCGGCAGCCCAGGGUGUCCCCCGGGUUAGGACGCCUCCGCAGCAGCUGGCACCCCAGGGUGUUCCCCGGG